rnacentral:rRNA from 1 species
GACGUAGGUGGCGAACGUUAUCCGGAAUCAUUGGGCGUAAAGGGUGCGUAGCUGGCAUAGUAAGUUAUUGGUGGAAAAUCGAGGCUCAACCUCGUGGAAGCUGGUAAUACUGCUAUGCUAAGAGUGCAGGAGAGGUUAACGGAACUCCAUGUGGAGCGGUAAAAUGUGUAGAUAUAUGGAAGAACACCAAUAACGGCGAAGGCAGUUAACUAGUCUGUUACUGACAUUGAGGCACGAAAGCGUGGGGAGCAAAACGG